UACAGAGGUCCCAAGCGUUGUUCGGAUUCAUUGGGCGUAAAGGGUGUGUAGGUGGCGCCGUAAGUCGGGUGUGAAAUCUCGGGGCUUAACUCCGAAACUGCAUUCGAUACUGCGGUGCUUGAGGACUGGAGAGGAGACUGGAAUUCAUGGUGUAGCAGUGAAAUGCGUAGAGAUCAUGAGGAACACCGGUGGCGAAGGCGGCUCUCUGGACGGUGACUGACGCUGAGACGCGAAAGCGUGGGGAGCAAACAGG
rnacentral:rRNA from 1 species